GCUGGGCGUGGUGGCGCAUGCCUGUAAUCCCAGCUACUCGGGAGGCUGAGGCAGGAGAAUUGCUUGAACCAGGGAGUUGGAGGUUGCAGUGAGCUGAGAUCAGGCCCCUACACUCCAGCCUGGUGACAGAGUAAGACUCUGUCUCAA
rnacentral:SRP_RNA from 1 species